rnacentral:rRNA from 1 species
CAAAAACAUAGCCACAUGUAUUUUACACGUGGUGUUUUUCUGCUCAAUGAUGUUAAAUAGCCGCAGUACCCUGACUGUGCAAAGGUAGCGUAAUCAUUUGGCUUUUAAUUGGAGUCGCGUAUGAACGAAUAUAUGGGGGCCCACUUUACCAAUAAUAGUACGCGAAGUUGCUUAAUGGGUGCAAAUACCCAUGACAAAAUAAUAGACGAGAAGACCCUAGAAAUUUUCAUGUACGUUUUUGUUGGGGCAACAUGGUAACAAGUAAUUUACCAUAUGGAUCUUGAAAUUUGUUAGGCAGAUUAAAUUACUCUAGGGAUAACAGCACAAUUAACAAACGUUUAUGACCUCGAUGUUGGACUAGGAAGUUAUAACUUAAAAGGCAAAUGACUUUGCUCUGUUCGAGCA